UCUUUUCAAGAUCUGUUAGCCACGACGAAAUAAAUUAGCUACUCAUCAUUUGUUGAACUGUUGCUUGUGGAAACAGAUUAGUAUGAGAAAACCCAUCAAUGGUUUAACUAUAUAUGCUCCAACCAAAUUUCAUAUUCGUGAAAUCUGUCAAGCUAAUUGAGUUAAGGUUUUGAUUUUUUUGUCAAUUUUGCUUAGGGUUACAAAUUUAUACAUAAAUUCAUGUGUUCUCGUAAAUGGCUAGUAGGUUUUACUAUUUCCCUUGUGUUGCAAAUAGAUUUCUUCAGAAAUUCAUGUGUUCUAAUUUUUGCCCAAUUCAUUGUUAAUGUACUGCUGUUGUAGUCUGUUUAUAACAACUUUUUUUUUGAAUUUUUACCUAUAAUUCCAAUUGGAUAUGUAAGUAGACUUGUUUUCUAGAAUAUUGAUGUUUAGACUUAUCUUUGAUUCUAUAAUUGAAAUGGUGAAAUAUAGGUUGCAAGUAUGACAUGCAGUUUCAGGACCUAUCUAAACACCAUUGACUAUAUUAUUCAUAACUGAUUCAAUACUGAACAUUUUUUGUUGAUUUCAAAAACACUGUAAAAUAGAUUCAUUUAUCUAAAGAAUUUGUGUUAGAGUCGAGACCUAAAUAUGUAGUUUGCACUUUCAUUGAAGCAGAGUGAGUCUGACAAUUUUUCUGCAAGGUAUUAGGAUACACCGUGAUAUGGGUGACUGAGAACGAAUUUUUGUCUGGCCCUUUGAUAUUUGGUUGCUGCUUAUGUGAAAAUUUGAUUGUUAUCAUUAAUAUUAAAUUCUAGAUAGUGAUUGUUUUAUUUUGUGUCUUAGUUUAUAAUCUCGUUCAUCUUCCUCUUUAGUUUGUAAUCGUGUUCAUCUUAAUCAGAUUGAAAUAGCUAAGAUAUCUCUCCAAGAGUGAAACUACAUAUCUUGCUUAUUUCCAAUUGUGCUUGAGGUAUGUUUUUUAUGUCUCCUUUGAGUUGCAAGUAGAUUUCUUCCCAAAGUCAUGUGUUAGAUUUUUUGCCCUGAGCUUUUUAGACUAUGUACGAUACUGUAAUUUCUCUUUUGUUUUGGGAUACACUCAUACACACACCACUUUAGUGCCAAGUUUGUCAUUGUGCUGAAUUUCUAACUUAUUUUCUUUGUUCACCAAUAAGGUAGUGACCAUACUCUAACCCUUCAAUAGCUUGUGUUGCACUCGAUUUAUAUAUUAUUUGAAAGCUGUUCAUUACACUAUAUAAUAUAUACUCUCAUGGAAUCAUAUUUUAGUAAGUUAUCUGAAUAAGGGGUGUAUGAUGUGUAUAUUUGGAAGCUCACCGAGUGAUUCUAAAAGCUAUAAGCCUAACCUUUUUGGACUAGGAUUUAUGUAAUUUUGAAUUAGCAGGUGAAAUAUUAUAUCACAACCAGGCUAGCAUCAAGUUAUAUUGCUAGUACAAUAUGUAACUGACAUAAUAUGUAGGAUCAUGUUUCAUCAAAUCUAUUCCAGACAUAUGUACAGAUCUAUUUAAGAGCUCACACAUUCAUUCCAAUAAACAUUCAUAGUGAGCAGUAUGAGUUUGUACUUUCAACAAUCUCUUCAAUAUGGUUCUAAUCGGUUUUUUUUCUUUGACCUUGCAAGAAAAUGGUACUCACAGGGAAUGGAAAAUAAAGCGGGUCUUCUGCAAAUGUAGAUCGAUCAUUAUUCUUUACUGGUUGGUAUGGUUUAUCAAGUUUCAGAUUUCAUUUCUGGGCUCUAUUACUAUCAAGAGGUAAAGUGUAUUUUGCAUAUUUUUUUAGAAUUUCUUUUGCCAUCUGCAAACUAGUCUAACUAUUAAUGUUUGGUACUUUGAUUUGAUUUACUAAAUUUUCAUAACACCAUAUUUUGCUUUUCAUUGCUACAGUUACAGUUUUUCACACUGUGAUCUGUCCACCAUUUAACAUCGGAGAGAGUAGUCCAUUGUCUUGCGAUCUGUCAGGGUCCAAUGAUUACCUUUCACAAAACUGGAAUGAAUUCAUAUGCUUUCAGGUAAUGCAACUUGAACACAAGCUAUCUAUAUAUUCUUUCAAUAUCAUAGAUAUGUGUUUUAUUUUUUUUACACCAAGCUUGCUUUAAUUUCAGAGUGAAGGCUGGGAUGAUAUGGGCAGUUGAAGAGAGAACAAUGGAAUUAUAAAAGAAAUCCGAGAAGUGGUUAUGCAUGGUGUAUAGUGUAUGGGGAUUGGUUAUGGAUUAAGAGUCUUUGAUAUUCUUCGUUUUGACUAUUACAAAUGUUUAUAUUUGUUGUAUGAACAUUCUUUUUAUCAAUAAUACCAUAUAUUUAGAUUUUUGUAGUCUUUUCUACUAUUGGAAUUCUUACAACAUAGUUUAUGAAUGAAUUAUGAUGUAUGAAAAUAUCUUUGGUGGAUGAGAUUUGGAUGAGA
rnacentral:lncRNA from 1 species